GGUGGUGGAUGGUGAAUCAUGAUGACUAUGCAGUGACAUCUUUACUUUAUGCUACAUGAAUCUUGUGUGGAAAGGACUAGGUGGAGCUUGAUGUAAAGGUGUCGCUGCAUGGUCUAUCAUACUACGUGGCCAUAUCUACAGCU